rnacentral:lncRNA from 1 species
GUGAGAUGCUAUAUGAGAAACUUACCAUACAAAGGUCCAGCUACAACUAGAUCCAGAGCUAAACUGAUGUCAUCAAGUCUCAGUUUGAAUGAUCCUCUCAGCUCCACUGUUCUUCAUCUUAACUUAAUUCCAAAGUCAUUCCACAGUGGUGAUAUAGCUGCCAGCAGCUACACAAACCCAAAGGCAACAGCCCACAUCCUUCUCCCAGAAGUCCCAUAAAGAGUCUCACUGCUUUUCAUUGGUUCUGAUUGUGGCCGACACUCACCCUUCAUCCAAUCUCUGUGGCCAGGAGAAUCCAGCGCUCUGAUUGGUCAGGCCUGGCUCCAUGGCCACCUGAAGUCCGGGGUGGAGUUAACUCCACCUGCAACACAUGGACUGAUGGAAAAGGGAAAAAGAUCUGGAAAUCCAAAAAGCUUGGAGAGCAAAUUGCAUUUGGUUUCUAUUACACAGUGCAGCAGAUUUAAUUAUUCUUGAAAAAAUUUUUUAUCUUCAAAGGGACUCAAGCUGAAGACCUCCUUUAGGUAUGUCGUCGGUAGAUACCUACCUCCAGUGGCUGGCUUGUUUUAGCCUCAUGGUCAAGAUGAGGAAUCUCAGAGUGGACUGCAGCCCAUGCUCUUUUCCAGAGCGUGUCAGAGGACAGGCUGUCACGAAGGCAGGCUUCACAGUGCCGGUUUCCUGAGACCACGGGAAAUGUGGCUGAAGGGGUCAUUGAUGUCUAACCUCCUGUGUUAUUCUGGGUGCAGUUCUAAUGCCCAGACCAUUGGUGUCCCCUGGAAUGUGCCCUUGGGUCAGAGCAAACUUUAAGUUAUUGUUAAUGAGGUUGUGCAUAUUUGCAUAAACUUUCAAGGUGAAAUAUUUCAGGGUUUUUCUUGUGGCUGGCAUUUGUUUUUCUUUCUCUAUCUUUUCACUUACCACAGUUGAUUCAAACCCCUUAAGCCUGGAAAGGACAUAGGAGCAAAGGGGGACCCCAUAACUGGGGGGCAUGCAAUAAUGGAGGCGUUGAGAGCAAGCCAGAGCUCUGGCCAAAGGUGGUCAGACAAUGGUCCAGAUCCCCGUUAUUAAGCUUCCCCAGGCUUCAUUUGUGGGAGUGGUGGCGGAUUGAAUAUUCCCCCCCCCCCCCAGAAUUCAUAUCUGCCUAGAACCUCAGAAUGUGACAUCAUUUGGAAAUAGAGUCUUUGCAGAUAUAUUAGUUAAGAUGAGAUCAUGCUAGAUUAAGGGUGGGCCCUAAAUCCAAAGGAGAGGAAUCUCAUUCUGUCUCCCAGGCUGGAGUGCAGUGGCAAGAUGUCAGCUCGCUGCAACCUCCACCUCCCGGGUUUGACACACACACACAGGGGAAGAGGGCCUGUGAAGAUGGAGGCAGAGAACGGAGUGACGCAGCGACAAGCCAAAGGGCACUGAGGAUGGCCAGAAGCCGCCAGAGGCUGGAAAAGCAAGAGCAAAGUCUCCCUGGAGCCUGCGGAGAGCCUGGUUCUGCCGAUACCGAUACCGACUUCAGAGUCGUAGACUCCAGAACUGUGAGGGAAUACAGUGCUGUUGCUUUAAGCCAUAGCAUUUGUAUUCAUUUGUUACAACAACCCUAGGAAACCAAUCAGGGGCUCUUAAAGGAAUCCAAGGCCUGAGGCAAAACAUGGGUCAGAGAAUGGAAAUGUGGACACAGAAGUCCCCGUGGAAAUGCCCUGAUGAGACUUGUUUGAAGGAUGAACUUCUGCUCCAAGAUAAUGUGGGCCUGUCCAUGCCACAUUCUUUAUUAGGCCACCAUAUUGGCUCUGCAGUUUGCACCCCCAAGGGGAGAGAAGGGACCGGAAUCCUGUCUAUCUCUCUCCACUGAGCCAAAUGUGCUGGUACAAAGCCUCAUUCCCCUGGAGAAAAGGGUUUCCUUUUCUUGGCUUGAAGGUGCUAACUCUCCUGCCUGUUCCUUAAGCUGUGUGCUGGGGGAGUGAGGCUGUACAGAGGGGCCACCACCAUCUAAUUAACAUGAUGGGCCGGGCACAGUGGCUCAUGCCUGUAAUCCUAGCACUUUGGGAGGCCGAGGCGGGUGGAUCACUUGAGGUCAGGAGUUCAAGACCAGCCUGGCCAACAUGGUGAAACCCUGUCUCCACUAAAAAUACAAAAAUUAGCCGGGCGUGGUGGCAUGUGCCUGUAAUCCCAGCUACUCAGGAGGCUGAGGCAGGAGAAUCACUUGAACCUGGGAGGCGGAGGUUGCAGUGAGCUGACAUUGUGCCACUGCACUCCAGCCUGGGUGACAGAAUGAGAUUCCGUCUCAAAAAAAAAAAAAAUUCACAUGACAGUACCAUAAAGACUAGCGGCCCUGAUCCAGCUGCACACAGCCCUCACUCACAUUGCCCAACCACAGAAUCCCUCAUUUCUUCCACAGGCACCCACACCCAUUCCCCCACCCACACACACGCUUUCAAUAUUCAGCCUCUCCUCAUUUUUCAAUGGUUCCAUAUUUGCAAAUUUGCCUACUUGCUAAAAUUUAUGUCUGCCCCCCAAAUCCAUACUCAGGACACACUCAUGGUCAUUUGCAGACAUGUGCAGAGUGACAAAAAAUUUGGGGUCUCUGGAUGUGCAUGUUUAUAUCUGAGAUCAAACAAGGAAAUGCUCUGCUCUCUUUUUUUCUUACUCUAAAUAAGAGUCCUUUUCAUAGUUUAUGUAGUGCCAUGUUUUUCGCAUUUUUGUGCUUUUUGUUGGUGAUUUUGCCAUUUAAAAUGGUCCCCAAGGGUAACACUGAAGUGCUAUCUAGUGUUGCAUAGCCUGAGAAGGAUGCAAUGCAACUUCCAGAGAAAAUAUGUGCGUUAGGUAAGCUCUGCUCAGGUGUGUCACACUGCAGGUGGCCAUGAGUUCAAUGUACUAAUGAAUCAGCAAUACAUAUCAUAGGAAGUGUCCUUAAACAGAAAGAGAAAUAAAACUGUCAGAGGCGUUCAAACUAGAGUGACUCCAUCUUGAAUAGGGGCUUGGUAAAAUAAGGCCGAUGCCUGCUGGGCUGCAUUCCUAGGUGUUUAGGCAUUCUUAGUCACAGGAUGAAACAGGAGGUCAACAGGACUGAUAUCACAAGAUACAGGUCACAAAGACCCUGCCGAUAAAACAGGAGGCCGUAAAGAAGCCAGUCAAAACCCAUCAAAACCAAGAUGGUGACAAAAGCGACCUCUGGUCAUCCUCACUGUUCAUUAUAUGCUAAUUGUAAUACAUUAGCAGGCUGGGUGCAGUGGCUCACACCUGUAAUCCCAGCACUUUGGGAAGUUGAGGCAGGUGGAUAGCUUGAGCCCAGGAGUUUGAGACUAGCUUGGGCAACAUGGCAAGACCCUGUCUCUACAAAAACUACAAAAAUUAGCUGGGUGUGGUAGCACAUGCCUGUUGUCCCAGCUACUAGGGAGGCUGAGAUGAGAGGAUCGUUUGAUCCUGGGGGUCAGAGGUUGCAGUGAGCCAAAACUGCACCACUGCACUCUAACCUGGGUGACAGAGUGAGACCCUAUCUCAAAUAAUAAUAAUAAUAAUAAUAAUAAUAAUAAUAAUAAUAAUAAUAAUAAUAAUACAUUAGCAUGCUAAAAGACACUCUCACCAGUGCCAUGACAGCUUACAAAUGCCAAGGCAAAGGCUGGAAGCUACCCUAUAUGGUCUAAAAGGGUGAGGGACCCUCAGUUAUGGGAACUCCUCUCCCCUUCCUCGAAAACCCACGAAUAAUCCACCCCUUGUUUAGCAUAUAAUCAAGAAAUAACCAUAAGUUUACUUAGUCGAGCAGCCUCUGCCACUGCUGUGGCUGUGGAGUAGACAUUCUUCUGUUUCUUUACUUCUCUAAUAAACUUGCUUUUGUUUUACUCUGUGGUCUCGCUCGAAUUCUGUCUUGCGUGAGAUCCAAGAACUCUCUCUUGGGGUCUGGAUUGGGACCUCUUUCUUGUAAAAAAACAAGGUUAUGAAUCAAUCAGUUGAUGAAGAUGUUGUGACCAGAGGCUCAUAGGAGCAUAACCCUCUAUUUCCCCUAGGAGCAAUGGUUCAGUAUUCGCCAUUCCAGCAUUCCAGAAAGUUUAUGGAACAUCACUAUAUCCAAUAAUGAGAAUUGCUUAUAUUUUUUCACCCAGGCCCGGUGAGGGGAA